rnacentral:rRNA from 1 species
UCCAGUCCAUCGCAUGGUGGUCUGGGAAAGAUUUUAUCGGUAUGGGAUGGGGUCGCGUCCUAUCAGGUAGUCGGCGGGGUAACGGCCCACCGAGCCUACGACGGGUAGCCGGCCUGAGAGGGCGACCGGCCACAUUGGGACUGAGAUACGGCCCAGACUCCUACGGGAGGCAGCAGUGGGGAAUAUUGCACAAUGGGCGCAAGCCUGAUGCAGCGACGCCGCGUGCGGGAUGACGGCCUUCGGGUUGUAAACCGCUUUUGUUGGGGAGCAAGCCUUCGGGUGAGUGUACCCUUCGAAUAAGCACCGGCUAACUACGUGCCAGCAGCCGCGGUAAUACGUAGGGUGCAAGCGUUAUCCGGAAUUAUUGGGCGUAAAGAGCUCGUAGGCGGUUCGUCGCGUCCGGUGUGAAAGUCCAUCGCUUAACGGUGGAUCUGCGCCGGGUACGGGCGGGCUGGAGUGCGGUAGGGGAGACUGGAA